AGAUUUUCAAGUUUAUCUAAUUCUGAAACAUGCAGAAGGUUUUUCUUAUCCUAGUUCUAGUAUUGUUCCUAGCUGAACAAACUACAGGACAGAUAUGUUCUUUACAAUAUUGUCGUAACUCUCCUAGAGAUGACUGCGCAUGUAGAGGCUGUUGUUGGGGUAAAUCGAAUUGUCAAACUGGUGGUUGUGAACCACGUUAUCCCUUUCCAGGUGCAACCCCGAUUUAUAGUUGUUUCUGUUAUCUAUGUCCACCAGCAUUAGCAGUGUCAGGAGGUAAUGGCACUACACAAUGAAAAACUACGAAAAGAUGGGAGAGAUGUCGGUACUGAAUUAAAAAGCUAUAAAGAACUAUC